CUCCAGUCAACUUCUCGUUCCAAACUCAUUCUACAUACACUUCGAAGGGAGGCUGAAGAAGCUGAAGGCGAUGUCUGUACAGCUACUUAUUUAUUUGAUGCUUACUUAAUUUGUACUUAUUUUACAUGGGGUAGCAAAAAUUAUGCUGCAAUGCCAUUGUGAGUGCCCCAUUCACACAGGUAGUGUCUAUAGAAAAACGCUAAGGAUAAAAUCAGUGAAUCAAAGUUGUUGGCAUAUAUGCAUUUCUAGAUAUUGUCAAAUUACUUCCCAAUGGAUUCUUCUGACAUCCUUUAUGGACAAUAUAUGAAACAAUCUGUUUUUCUCUGCCUAUGUUAGAUAUCUCUAUUUAUCAAUCUAUUGAUCUAUCAACCUAUUGAGCUACUCAUCUAUCUGUCUGUCUAUCUAUCUAUCUAUCUAUCUAUCUAUCUAUCUAUCUAUCUGCCUAUAUGUCUGUCUGUCAUCAUCUUUAUCACUCAAAUAGGUGAAAAAUUGUGUCUCUAUUGGCUUUUCAUUUUUAUUUCUAUUAUUAAAAGAGAAUUUGGACAUCUUUUCAUAUGUUUAAAAAACAAUGAGUUUUCCUUUCUAUAAAAUAUGUAUAGUGUAACAUAGUUUUUUAUAUACACACACAAUCUGAGUAUCA
rnacentral:lncRNA from 1 species